UACCCCCUUAUUAGUUUGAUAGAAUGUUGAAUACAAUUUCAUACUCUUAAUGGUGUUAUUUUUUCAGUUGAAACCAAAAUAAAGUUCCCAUGAGAACUAUAGUUGUAGAUGAUGGGUUUUGCAGAAAAUUCUGGCUGGAGGGUACUAUCCAGUGAACUAUGAGACCAUCUAAUUGGCAUCCGUGAAAUUACAGAACCCUGAAUUUCUCUCUCGUCGUCUCAUCUUCUCCCUUCCGUCACUCCGGCCAAUCCUUCAGGUCCUGUCUCUCCGGCCACCGCGUUCCAUUCCGUCACUCUCCGUCUCACUUCCUUCUCAGGCAUCAAACGUAGGAAGUGAAUCUCCAACACACAAUGACAUAACUAGAUCAUCAGAUGAAAGCAACGCACGUGGAGCAUGAGAGUCCUAAUUUUAGUGACAUCAGUUGUCUAGUCAUUUUUAUGUUUUGAAACUUGUUAUUUUGAGAAUUGCUAAAAAGAUGGUGGCAAUGGUUUAUGUAACUUUAUGUUUGGAGACUUGUUUAUAUUUGAGACUUGUUUUGGAUAUUUGUAUCAAACUCCACUUCAGUUGAAUUAUAAAUAUAUCAAUGACAAUGUUCAAAAUUUGUUUGUCCUUUAA